rnacentral:lncRNA from 1 species
UCACAGCUCAUGAGCAUAAGCUUGUGUAUAUAAAUAUAUACAGUUUUAAUCCACCUUUUUCUUUACUGUAGUUAUUUUAUAUAAUCUCUCUGUUUCAGAGACUGCAGUGGAACCUUGUGGUUGGGUUAAGUUACCUGAACCUAGGCCAUAUUUACUGUAUAUCAUUGCUUGUGGUACUGCUAUAUGUUACAAUGAACAGGUCAUUUUUUUUUUAAAACUAGACCACCUUUAAAACAAAUGCAAGUAAUGUAAUAAACUUAAUUCAAAUAUGUACAAAAGUAUAUUUUGGGGAUUUUAAGGCACACUGGAUUAUAAGGUGCAUUAAGCGACACUAUUUAGAAUGCCUACAUCUAAGUGUCAUCAUGUUUUUUUUUGUAAUAGAGAAGAGCCUAAGUAAACAAAACUGUAAUUCUUAAAAAAAACACGUUUCUUUCACAUUUAAACAAGUCCUGGAUAGUAAUCUUCACAGAUUUCUCUCCUGAAUCCUGUUUUUUUGGGUGAGUAAAGCUCUUGGAGUUCCAGUAUUUCAUCUAAGGGUGAAUUUUCAGCAAAGGUCUGCAUUGUCUCUGUGCAUUAUUGUAAAUGAGCGAUGACACUGUCCAGACUCCUAUAAAAUAGAUAUGGAGGCAGUGGGAUGACACAGAGAGGAGGUUGAAGCGUGUGAGACUCUGUUAUAUUAAGUUACAGUGUAAUAACAUUUCUUUGGCCAGGGGCAGGAAUAGUACCAGGUGCAGCUGGAGUAAUGUGAUUGAGCGCUAGGCGAGCCUAUCUAAGCUCUUCCGCACCCACAGCCAGCCACUCGAAACCAGACUCCAAAGGUGCUGCUCUCAGGAACAGUAAGAAAUGGCUUAAUUGGAUGUUUCCUGUCUCAGAAAUGUAAUAAAAGGUGUAUCUCGCUGCUUCGCAACCAGGCCUGCUCUACUUGGCAGCUUAUGUAAGUAUAACUUACCCCCCCCCCCCCCCCAAAACUUUCUGAACAUUUCCUUCCCAAUGAAACAGAAGAGCACUCCACUUAUAUAUCCGCUUGGAGAGACGCCCAGAAGCUCGUGAAAGAAGUUCUGAAACCCCAAUCUGUCAGAGUCUCAGUGACUGCGAAGGACGACACCAAGGGUCUGAAAAAACACUCCUCAACAGAUCGGAGCUUUAAAUGUUCAGAACUGUGUAAACCAAAA